AUUUGGACCGAAUUUGGAGGAAUUUGACGCGAUUUGGAGGAAUUUGGAGCCGAUUUGGUGGAUUUUGAUCCAAUUUGGAGGAAUUUUGACUGAAUUAUUGGGGAUUUGGACCCAAUUUGGAGGAAUUUGGAGCCGAUUUGGGAGAAUUUGACCCAAUUUGGAGGAAUUUUGACUGAAUUCUGGGGAUUUGGACCCAAUUUGGAGGAAUUUGGAGCCGAUUUGGAGGAAUUUGGAGCCGACUUGGGGAAUUUGACUCAAUUUGGAGGAAUUUUGACUGAAUUCUGGGGGAUUUGGAUCCAAUUUGGAGGAAUUUUGACUGAAUUAUUGGGGAAUUUGACCCAAUUCAGAGGAAUUUGGAGCCAAUUUGGGGGAAUUUGGACCCAAUUUGGAGGAAUUCGGAGCCGAUGUGGUGGAUUUUGAUCCAAUUUGGAGGAAUUUCAAGCCGAUUUGGGGGAAUUUGACCCAAUUUAGAGGAAUUUUGACUGAAUUCUGGGGGAUUUGGACCGAAUUUGGAGGAAUUUGACGCGAUUUGGAGGAAUUUGGAGCCGAUUUGGUGGAUUUUGAUCCAAUUUGGAGGAAUUUUGACUGAAUUAUUGGGGAUUUGGACCCAAUUUGGAGGAAUUUGGAGCCGAUUUGGGGGAAUUUGACCCAAUUUAGAGGAAUUUUGACUGAAUUCUGGGGGAUUUUGAUCCAAUUUGGAGGAAUUUCAAGCUGAUUUGGAGGAUUUUGAUCCAAUUUGGAGGAAUUUCGAGCUGAUUUGGGGGGAUUUUGACCCCAUCUGAAGGAAUUUGGAGGAAUUUGGAGCUGACUUGGGAGGAAUUUUGACUGAAUUCUUGGGGAUUUGGACCCAAUUUGGAGGAAUUUGGAGCCGAUUUGGUGGAUUUUGCCCCAAUUUGGAGGCAAACGGCAGUUUUGGGGCAAACGGGCGGAAUCGGGGGGGUUUUGGGGUCUCCGCUUUGAAGGUUUUAUUUUCUCACCGAAACCUGGAACCGUCGGUAACGAAAAAAUUCUAUUUUUUAGGUUUUCUUUGAUGUUUCCUUCAGUCUUUAUUUCGGGAUUAAAUCUCGAUGUUUUAACCCCAAUUUAGGGACGGAAAUGGGACGUAAAAGGGUAUUUACCCCCCUGUUCAUCAGUGACCCCCCCCUUCAUUAAUAAACCCCCCCAAUCAUUAAGAACCCCCCCA
rnacentral:lncRNA from 1 species